rnacentral:rRNA from 1 species
UAGGGAAUCUUCGGCAAUGGACGAAAGUCUGACCGAGCAACGCCGCGUGUGUGAAGAAGGUUUUCGGAUCGUAAAACUCUGUUGUUAGAGAAGAACAAGGACGUUAGUAACUGAACGUCCCCUGACGGUAUCUAACCAGAAAGCCACGGCUAACUACGUGCCAGCAGCCGCGGUAAUACGUAGGUGGCAAGCGUUGUCCGGAUUUAUUGGGCGUAAAGCGAGCGCAGGCGGUUUCUUAAGUCUGAUGUGAAAGCCCCCGGCUCAACCGGGGAGGGUCAUUGAAAACUGGGCGUCUUGAGUGCAGAAGAGGAGAGUGGAAUUCCAUGUGUAGCGGUGAAAUGCGUAGAUAUAUGGAGGAACACCAGUGGCGAAGGCGGCUCUCUGGUCUGUAACUGACGCUGAGGCACGAAAGCGUGGGGAGCAAACAGG